CCAUGUAUCACUUUCCCUUGCCUCCCAUGAUCUAUCUAUAUAAAGGUCAAAGCAUGCAUGUUUGUCUGUCUGUCUACCUGUUUGUAUUACAUUUUUUGUUUUAGGAGCAACUUGAGAAACUACAAGUCAUUCCUGGUGUGAGAGAAUUGGUGGUCUGCAAGGACAUUGCCCAGCAGACGCCCGGGGAUUUUACCAUCCUGUGGGAGGCUUCUCUCAUGUUCUCGCAUGGGAAGCUGAAGCUGACAGAUGGGACUUACCCCGCGCCCCGGAUUCAAACUGCUGACCUUUUGGUCAGCAGUCCUUAUGGCACAAGAGUUUAACCCAUUGCACUACGAGGCUCCUACUCUGUAUUACAUAGGCUGUUGCUAGAUGAAGUGGCCCUCUGUGAUGUCACUGGGAAGAAGUGACCUGUGUAUCAGGGGAAGGGAAGGAGGGACAAAGGAAAAAGCCACACAAAAAGCCAUAUUGGUAUGGAGACUUUGCAAGGUAAAUGGAGGAACCCGAAGAAGCCCCAAAUACAUGAAGCCACCUAUUCACAAUUUACCUGGCUAACUCAAAACACGGGGAAAAUCUUGGUUACAGUCCAAUGAGAGAUUAAAAACCAAAACAAAAUCACUCUUCA